GAUGCAAGGGGAUACCCAGAUCCUUAAAACGUGAUGCCAAUGGGUCCUGACCAAGCGUCAGUAUAUUGACGAGUUGGGACUGAGAACGUGUUGCAAUGCAAAGUGAAU